AUUGAACGCUGGCGGCAGGCCUAACACAUGCAAGUCGAACGGUAACAGGAAGAAGCUUGCUUCUUUGCUGACGAGUGGCGGACGGGUGAGUCAUGUCUGGGAAACUGCCUGAUGGAGGGGGAUAACUACUGGAAACGGUAGCUAAUACCGCAUAACGGCGCAAGACCAAUGAGGGGGACCUUCGGGCCUCUUGCCAUCGGAUGUGCCCAGAUGGGGUUAGUUAGUAGGUGGGGUAACGGCUCACCUAGCCGACGAUCCCUAGCUGGUCUGAGAGGAUGACCAGCAACACUGGACCUGGGACACGGUCCAGACUCCUACGGGAGGCAGCAGUGGGGAAUAUUGCACAAUGGGCGCAAGCCUGAUGCAGCAAUGCCGCGUGUAUGAAGAAGGCCUUCGGGUUGUAAAGUACUUUCAGCGGGGAGGAAGGGAGUAAAGUUAAUACCUUUGCUCAUUGACGUUACCCGAAGAAGAAGCACCGGCUAACUCCGUG
rnacentral:rRNA from 1 species